UACGGAAGGGGCAAGCGUUGUUCGGAAUCAUUGGGCGUAAAGGGCGCGUAGGUGGUCUUGUAUGUCCGCUGUGAAAUCGUGCAGCUUAACUGCAUCACGUCGGUGGAAACUGCAGGACUUGAGGCUGGGAGGGGCUGGUGGAAUUCCCUGUGUAGCGGUGAAAUGCGUAGAGAUGGGGGAGAACACUCGUGGCGAAGGCGGCCAGCUGGACCAGUUCUGACACUGAGGCGCGACAGCGUGGGGAGCAAACAGG
rnacentral:rRNA from 1 species